UCUCUUGACACUCACCUCGGGAGGGAAUUGAUCCAAAUUCUAGCUCCUCAGUAGGGCAAGAUUAAGUCUGUUAAGUCUCUCCAUGGUUUUGAAAGUUAUGAAUGCUGAAGGCUAAGCUGAGAAGCAGAGACUCUUUGAGGAUGGAUUUUUUUUUUUUUUUUUAAUAUCUUUGUAUAACCUGAUGCCUAUAACUGAGACCUCUUCUAGUUACAGGCAGCAGUGCACUUUGAUGGCCAAGUGGCUGAGAAGUACUACAUCUGUGAGAAACAUUUCUGGUUGCUGCAGGAAUUCUGUCCAGUGACUUCCAUAACAGGGUUUUUCAGCUUCUCAUCCUGAACUGCCAAGGAGGGGCUGAGGGGACACAAGGAGCUGGGAGGAGUCAGAAGCAGGACAGCUGACCUGAACUGGCCAAAGGGAUAUCAUGUGGAAAAAAAAACCCAAAACCUUAUAAAAGUGAGGAGAGUUGGCCAGAGGGACACUUGCUAUGCGGUGACUGACUGGGCAUCAAUGAGUAGAUAGUGGGUAAUUGUUGAAUCACUUGUUAUGUAAAUACAUAUAUAUAUAUAUACAUAUAUAUAAUAAUCAUUACUGUUAUUUUUUCUCCCUUUCUGAUUUAGUAAGUUGUUUUUAUUUCAACCUACAAGUUUUAUUUUUUUUUUAAUCUAUUCUCUCCUCCAUCCCACUGGGAGGUGGGGGAGUAAGUGAAAGGCUUUUUGAUGUUUAUUUGCUUGCUGGGAUAAAUCACAACAUAAGGGAAUGGAGGGUUACAGUAAGCAGACAAAUAUAAAUUAGCUGGAAUCCAGAAGACAUGUUCUAAUGCUACAAAGAUGGAUCUUAGCUAUUAGAACUCAAAAAGCACAGAACCAUAGAAUGGUUUGUGUUGGAAGGGACUUGAAAGAUCAUCCAGUUCAAAACCCCCAACUGCAGUCAGGGACAUCUCCCACUAGACCAGAUUGCCCAAAGCCCCAUUCAACCUGGCCUUGAACAACUUCAGGGAUGGGGCAUCCACAAUUUCUCUAGGCAACCUGUUCCAGGUCCUCACCUACCUCAUUAUGAAGAAUUUCUUCCUAAUUUACACCUACUCUUUCUUAGUUUUAGACCCCUAUUCAGUCACUAUGCUCCCUGACAAAGAAUCAGAACCAUAGAAUGUCAUGGGAUAAAAGGGACCUCAAAGAUCAUCAAGGUCCAAACCCCUGCUGCAGGCAGUGUUGGCAAGGGCUAGGUCACGUACUAGAUAAGAUUGCUCAGGGCCCUGUCCAACCUGGUCUUAAACACCUCCAGGGAUAGGGCAUCCACAGCCUCUCCAGGCAACAUGUUCCAGCACCUCACCACUCUCUCAGUAAAGAACUUCACAGUGACUUUAAGUCUAAAUCUUUCCUCCUUUAAUUUAAAAUCACUGCCUCUUGUCCUAUCAUUAUCUACCCAUGUAAAAUGUUGAUUUCCCUCCCCAUCUCUCCUGUAGGCCCCUUUAAAGUACUGGCAGAAUGCUAAAAGAUCAUCCUGUAGCCUUCUCUUAUCCAUGCUGAAUAACUGCAAUUCUAUCAGCCCCUGGCUCAUGGGAGAGAUUCUCCAGAGGGUGAUCAGAGGGCUAGACUCAAUCCAACAGAUUAUUGUUUCUUGAUUUGAACUAUAAAGCUCUCUAUAUUUGUAAUACUAGAUGUUUUUUUUUUUUCUUAUGGUUUCUCUGUGUAAUGUCCUAUCAAAUAAAUUAAAUUAUUAGCUACAC
ensembl:lncRNA